CAAUGCACUUUUUCUGAGUGAUCAACAACAUGAGCAGUAUUGUAUUUCAGACAGCCUCCAGGCCAUCAGCUUUGUGAGUUACUUUGCCUUUCGCUCCUCAAAGAUAUUCAUGUAUAUUAUUCUCUUGUUAGAAUUUUUGUGUUAAACGUUUGUCAAGCCUUGAAAAAUGAUAUACGACCCUGCCAAAUCCUGGUCAAAUUACAGAGAUGCCAGUUCGCACAGGACUAAUAUUAUCACAGGACCUCGGUGUUCAGCGAAAUAUGUUUGCAUACCAGCCACAACUUGGAGUUGAUGAUGCCAUCGUCCACCUUCUUCGCCGAACCUAUACUCACCUAGAGAAAUCCAGGAGUUCAGUGAAGUUUAUGUUUUUCGACUUCUUGAAUGCGUUUAACACCAUACAGCCCAAGCAUUGGAGGAGAAAUUGCAAGUAUAUAACCCCCUGGUGUCUUGGAUUGUGGAUUACCUUACUGACUUACCCCAGUACGUCCGCAUGCAGAACUGUGUGUCCGAUACUGUGAUUUGCAGUACUGGGGCUCCUCGGGGGACAGUUCUUUCUCCCUUUCUCUUCACCCUAAAUAAAUCAGACUUCAGAUACAACUCUGAAUUUUGCCAUUUCCAGAAGUUUUCUGAUGAUUCUAUGGUUGGUGGAUAUAUUCAAGGUGGUGACACUUCAGAGUAUCGGAAAGUAGUGGACAAUUGUGUUACCUGGAGUGAGCUAAACCACCUACAGAUUAAUAUUAGUAAAACAAAGGAACUUGCAGUGGACUUUAAGUAAUCCAAGUCCCCUGUCAUUCAUUUGUCUGUCCAUGGUGAGAAAGUGGAAAUUGUGGCGGAUUAUAAAUUCCUUGGAGUACACAUAGACAACAAACUGGACUGGACUUUAAAUUUAACAGCACUCUUUCAGAAAAGUCAGUGUAUGUUGUAUUUUCUGAGGAGGUUCAAAUCUUUAAAUGUCUGCAGUACCAUGCUGCAGAUGUUUUAUGAGUCUGCGGUGUCUAGUGUCAUUUUUUAUGCUAUGAUCUGUUGGGGUACUGGUACAGUAUGUAGAUGGCAGACAGAAAUAAACUGGACAAAUUAAAUAGGAUAUCCGGCUUUUUACGGUAUGGAGCUGGACUCUGUUGUGGCUGAGAAGAAUACUGUCGAAAAUUAAUUUAAUCUUGGACAAUCCACUUCCAUUAUAUAGGUUGCUGGUCGACCAGAGAAGCAAAUUUAAUCAGAGACUGAUCCAAGUGUUCCACAGAGAUUUUAAGAAGACACCAUUAAGCUGUACAUCUCCUUUUUAUAAGUGCGGGGACAAUUCCACAUUAAAACCUGAAAAUAAGAUUUCCAGUUUGAAAGUGAAGGAAAUGAAUCAUACUUAACAGCAAUUACACAAGUAUUUUUGUCCCUGUUCUUUGUUUGAUGAGGAGCAACCAGUAAGAAAAAGCAAAAAGAUGUUUUGAUGUUGCCUUAGGCACUUUAUUGUGAGUACAUUUUAAUUUUAUUAGUCAUUUGAAUUGUUAUACUUCUGUUGAAU